rnacentral:RNase_P_RNA from 1 species
GAGUUGGCUGGGCAGUCGCCGGUAGCUUUUAGCAUCGGAGGAAAGUCCGGGCUCCGCAGGACAAAGUGCCAGAUAACAUCUGGGGGAUGCGAGUUCACGGAAAGUGCAACAGAAAAAAUACCGCCUCUUUCUUUUGAUUUGGGGUAAGGGUGAAAUGGUGUGGUAAGAGCGCACCGCAUUGUUGGUAACAAUAAUGGCAAGGUAAACCCCACUUGGAGCAAGGCCAAAUAGGAAUCAUAUGAUGUGGUCCGCAUCUGAUUCGGGUAGGCUGCUAGAGGUUGUUGGUGACAACAAUCCCAGAUGAAUGACUGUCCUCGACAGAACCCGGCUUACAGGCCAACUCUU